AGGAGAAGUCGUAACAAGGUUUCCGUAGGUGAACCUGCGGAAGGAUCAUUGAACACACGAUCUCGAAAAACCC
rnacentral:rRNA from 1 species